rnacentral:rRNA from 1 species
GACGAACGCUGGCGGCGUGCUUAACACAUGCAAGUCGAACGGAAAGGCCCUGCUUUUGUGGGGUUCUCGAGUGGCGAACGGGUGAGUAACACGUGAGUAACCUGCCCUUGACUUUGGGAUAACUUCAGGAAACUGGGGCUAAUACCGGAUAUGAGCUCCUGCUGCAUGGUGGGGGUUGGAAAGUUUCGGCUGUUGGGGAUGGACUCGCGGCUUAUCAGCUUGUUGGUGGGGUAGUGGCUUACCAAGGCUUUGACGGGUAGCCGGCCUGAGAGGGUGACCGGCCACAUUGGGACUGAGAUACGGACCAGACUCCUACGGGAGGCAGCAGUGGGGAAUAUUGCACAAUGGGCGGAAGCCUGAUGCAGCAACGCCGCGUGCGGGAUGACGGCCUUCGGGUUGUAAACCGCUUUCGCAUGUGACGAAGAGUGAGUGACGGUAAUGGGUAAAGAAGCACCGGCUAACUACGUG